UACGGGGGGAGCAAGCGUUGUUCGGAUUUACUGGGCGUAAAGGGCGCGUAGGCGGCCACCGCAAGUCGACUGUGAAAUCUCCGGGCUUAACUCGGAACGGUCAAGUGAUACUGUCGGACUAGAGUACAGAAGGGGCAACUGGAAUUCUCGGUGUAGCGGUGAAAUGCGUAGAUAUCGAGAGGAACACCUGCGGCGAAGGCGGGUUGCUGGGCUGAUACUGACGCUGAGGCGCGAAAGCCAGGGGAGCGAACGGG
rnacentral:rRNA from 1 species